AGCAGCAGCCGCGGUAAUACGGAGGGGGCUAGCGUUGUUCGGAAUUACUGGGCGUAAAGCGCACGUAGGCGGCUUGGUAAGUUAGAGGUGAAAGCCUGGAGCUCAACUCCAGAAUUGCCUUUAAGACUGCCGAGCUAGCAGGUGAGAGAGGUAAGUGGAAUUCCGAGUGUAGAGGUGAAAUUCGUAGAUAUUCGGAAGAACACCAGUGGCGAAGGCGGCUUACUGGCUCAUACUGGACGCUGAGGUGCGAAAGCGUGGGGAGCAAACAGGAUUAGAUACCCGUGUAGUCCCUGUCUCUUAUAA
rnacentral:rRNA from 1 species